GACUCCUUGAGAGUCCUGAAGGAACGUUGAAGACGACGACGUUGAUAGGCCGGGUGUGUAAGCGCAGCGAUGCGUUGAGCUAACCGGUACUAAUGAACCGUGAGGCUUAACCUU
rnacentral:rRNA from 2 species